CCAAAAUUACAGAUAUUAAUGUGUGUGUUUCCUUUUGGUAUGGACUCAAGUGGAUAAUACCUUUGUCUUCUGCGGUGAUGAAUAAAGUAAAAUUGCACUGAAAGGGCAGAACUACUGCAGCAACAUUUGGGGGAUGUCAGACUGUGACAAACCCCAUCCGUUCUGUUCUCCAGCAUCAGCAAAGCAACUUGUAUCUACAUAUUUUAAAACUGGAUAAGAAGUGCUGAUGACCACAGACAAUCCUAAUACACAGAUAAGGAAAGGUGAAGGAAGGACAAUCCUGUUUUAUUUUAGUGGAUACAGAAGUACUACAGUUUUGCAUGGGCACUCCUUGGGAUAUGGAAAAGGACUUU